rnacentral:lncRNA from 1 species
UAGGGAUAUCCCUCUACUUGUGAAUCCAAUAUUAUGAUUUGACAAUUUAUCUGGCCGUCCCCAUACCCUUUCCAGCAAUCGGCGCAAAAAAUAGUAUUGUCUCGACACCCUGUCCAGUAUGAAGGUAAACCAUAUCUCCCAAAACCGAUCUGGUAUGGGACUUCUCAGCCCUGUCUAACUACCAGAUAAUGUUCAUGGUAAGGUUCCUUAUGUACCGGAUCCAUCCAUCAAUCUUUUCCAAGGAUGCUCAAUAAGCUUUUAUUUAUUUAGAUUCUCAUCAUCCAAAUAACCACUAAAGCAUACCAACAUCUCAUUU